UACGAGGGGAGCAAGCGUUGUUCGGAUUUACUGGGCGUAAAGGGCGCGUAGGCGGCCACGACAAGUCACUUGUGAAAUCUCCGGGCUUAACCCGGAAAGGUCAAGUGAUACUGUCGGGCUAGAGUGCAGAAGGGGCAACUGGAAUUCCCGGUGUAGCGGUUAAAUGCGCAGAUAUCGGGAGGAACACCGGUGGCGAAGGCGGUUCGCUGGGCCGGUACUGACGCUGAGGAGCGAAAGCGUGGGGAGCGAACAGG
rnacentral:rRNA from 1 species